GGGUUUAAUACCGUAUACGCCCUUCGGGGGAAAGAAUUUCGGUGAGGGAUCGGCCCGCGUUAGAUUAGUUAGUUGGUGGGGUAAUGGCCUACCAAGACUACGAUCUAUAGCUGGUUUGAGAGGAUGAUCAGCAACACUGGGACUGAGACACGGCCCAGACUCCUACGGGAGGCAGCAGUGGGGAAUCUUAGACAAUGGGGGCAACCCUGAUCUAGCGAUGCCGCGUGAGUGAUGAAGGCCUUAGGGUCGUAAAGCUCUUUCGCCUGUGAUGAUAAUGACAGUAGCAGGUAAAGAAACCCCGGCUAACUCCGUGCCAGCAGCCGCGGUAAUACGGAGGGGGUUAGCGUUGUUCGGAAUUACUGGGCGUAAAGCGCACGUAGGCGGAUUAGUCAGUCAGAGGUGAAAUCCCAGGGCUCAACCCUGGAACUGCCUUUGAUACUGCUAGUCUUGAGUUCGAGAGAGGUAAGUGGAAUUCCGAGUGUAGAGGUGAAAUUCGUAGAUAUUCGGAGGAACACCAGUGGCGAAGGCGGCUUACUGGCUCGAUACUGACGCUGAGGUGCGAAAGUGUGGGGAGCAAACAGGAUUAGAUACCCUGGUAGUCCACACCGUAAACGAUGAAUGCCAGUCGUCGGGUAGCAUGCUAUUCGGUGACACACCUAACCGGAUUAAGCAUUCCGCCUGGGGGAG
rnacentral:rRNA from 1 species